GCUAGGUACGGUCGGACAUCGUGCUAAUAGUGCAAUGGCAUAAGCGUGCUUAACUGCGAGACUGACAAGUCGAGCAGAUGCGAAAGCAGGACAUAGUGAUCCGGUGGUUCUGUAUGGAAGGGCCAUCGCUCAACGGAUAAAAGGUACUCUGGGGAUAACAGGCUGAUACCGCCCAAGAGUUCAUAUCGACGGCGGUGUUUGGCACCUCGAUGUCGGCUCAUCUCAUCCUGGGGCUGUAGCCGGUCCCAAGGGUAUGGCUGUUCGCCAUUUAAAGAGGUACGUGAGCUGGGUUUAAAACGUCGUGAGACAGUUUGGUCCCUAUCUUCCGUGGGCGCUGCAGAUUUGAGGAAGCCUGCUCCUAGUACGAGAGGACCGGAGUGGACGCACCUCUGGUGUACCGGUUGUCACGCCAGUGGCAUCGCCGGGUAGCUAUGUGCGGAAGAGAUAACCGCUGAAAGCAUCUAAGCGGGAAACUCGUUCCAAGAUGAGAUCUGCCGGGGGCUUGACCCCCCUGAAGAGUCGUUCAAGACCAGGACGUUGAUAGGCUGGGUGUGGAAGACGUGUAAGCGUUUAAGCUAACCAGUACUAAUUGCUCGUGAGGCUUGACCCU
rnacentral:rRNA from 1 species